UAUUAGGUUGGCGCGAAAGUAACUGUGGUUUUUACCAUUACUUUAAUAGCAAAAACCGCAAUUACUUUUGCACCAACCUACUAAUUUU
rnacentral:miRNA from 1 species